rnacentral:rRNA from 1 species
CCUACGGGAGGCAGCAGUGGGGAAUAUUGCACAAUGGGGGGAACCCUGAUGCAGCGACGCCGCGUGAGUGAAGAAGUAUUUCGGUAUGUAAAGCUCUAUCAGCAGGGAAGAAAAUGACGGUACCUGACUAAGAAGCCCCGGCUAACUACGUGCCAGCAGCCGCGGUAAUACGUAGGGGGCAAGCGUUAUCCGGAUUUACUGGGUUUAAAGGGAGCGUAGACGGCAGUGCAAGCCAGAUGUGAAAGCCCGCGGCCCAACCGCGGGACUGCAUUUGAAACUGUCCGGCUAGAGUGCGGGAGAGGUAAGCGGAAUGCCUAGUGUAGCGGUGAAAUGCGUAGAUAUUAGGAGGAACACCAGGGGUGAAGGCGGCUUGCUGGACAAUAACUGACGUUGAGGCUCGAAAGCGUGGGGAGCAAACAGGAUUAGAUACCCUAGUAGUC